rnacentral:tRNA from 1 species
GCCGAAAUAGCACAGUGGCAGUGCGCUGGUCUAGUAUUCCCAUAUGGAUACAGUUAACCAGAGGUCCGGAGUUCGAAUCUCCGUUUUGGCU